AACGCUGGCGGCAGGCCUAACACAUGCAAGUCGAGCGGUAACAGAGAAUAGCUUGCUAUUCUGCUGACGAGCGGCGGACGGGUGAGUAACGCGUAGGAAUCUGCCCGGUAGCGGGGGAUAGCCCAGAGAAAUUUGGAUUAAUACCGCAUACGCCCUACGGGGGAAAGCAGGGGAUCUUCGGACCUUGCACUAUCGGAUGAGCCUGCGUGAGAUUAGCUAGUUGGUGGGGUAAAGGCCUACCAAGGCGACGAUCUCUAGCUGGUCUGAGAGGAUGAUCAGCCACACCGGAACUGAGACACGGUCCGGACUCCUACGGGAGGCAGCAGUGGGGAAUAUUGCACAAUGGGCGCAAGCCUGAUGCAGCCAUGCCGCGUGUGUGAAGAAGGCCUUAGGGUUGUAAAGCACUUUCAGCGAGGAGGAAAGGUUAUUGAUUAAUACUCAAUAGCUGUGACGUUACUCGCAGAAGAAGCACCGGCUAACUCCGUGCCAGCCGCCGCGGUAAUACGGUCA
rnacentral:rRNA from 1 species